GAUUUCCUGCUAGAGGCCGAGACGGCCAGCAUGUUUCUUGUAAUUUUCAGCAGAUAUUUUAAGCAUUAAGCUAGUAAGACGUUCAUAGGUUACUUCUGCUCCAGGAGCAAAAAAUAAUAGGAGCCACAUUUGAAUGCCAAGCCCUUGCAUUGUUCACCAUGAAACGGCAUGGUCUCUUCAACCUACCCGUUCUUGUACCCGCCUCCUUAUGGGCUAGAUUGUAACUGUGUGAUCCAGCGUGAUCAAAGGCCCCGAAUCAGAGAUUUUAAGCCCAGAAGAGGUGGCUCCAAUUAGCCAGUCUGACUAACCUGACAAAGCGAAAAUUUUAACCUGUAAUUCCUGUAUUGAUGGCAAUAAAUUCUGCUCCAGUACGUGUUAUCCAAGGCUCCCAGACAGUAAUUAACUGAGCUCCAUAGCAUUAGGACAUGGAGGGGAUACCUUAAUCCAUACAGCAUACAGAAGAAGGAACAACUCAGACCAGAGGUGCUGUACUUCUAUCGCAACUGAUGGAGGGGACAAGAGCAGCUAUAAGGCUGGGUCAUGCCAGAGCUUGUCCACCUCCUGACUACAAGGCUGUCUUAAUAUUACAGGUUUAGAAAGGCCUUCAAAACUGAAGAAAGUUCCUGGUACAAUCUGCUUUUAUAUAUGUUCUUCCAGGAGGAAUCUUGUCCAGCAAAGCGAAAGCAUCCUAGAUUAAGAAUUUAUUAUGCCUGUGUGGGAAGUCACAUAUCCCGUCCCUGUUCUGAGCACCACCACUGCCAGUUCUGCUGGAUCAGAGCAAACGUCCAGAUCAACAAAAUAAAGUUCACAAAGGAAACGGUUAAAUUUUCUGACUGGCUUCACUCUGUCACAGAAAAUGCUAAACGCAUUUGUAAGUUACAUAAAACUGCAUCAGUUCAUAUUUUCCCCUCCUGGUUUCGCAGCCCAAGACUGCAAAAGGACAUUGUGACAUCUCUAAGCUCUCAAGAGUUUGGUAAUAAAAGUGAAAACCCUCGGCAGAAAACAGCACCGUCUCGCUCCACACCCUCCCACUGCUGGGCAAAUGAUUUUCCCAUUUUCCUCACUUAUCCUCAGACUAAACAAUGUUAAAUUUACAAAUCUGACAGCUAUUUAUAGCAAGCACAUCUACCCCAGGAGCCGCAGAGGCUGGUGUGUAUCGCUGCCCAUAAUCCACAGGACAGCUCUCAACCUGGCAUGUCUGGUAGUUAGGAG